GAAGGCUUCAAGGCUUCUGUGAUCCUGCCAUUUCCAAUAAAGACGCCUGAGUCUCCUACUGUCUGCCAGCUCUACCCAGCUAAAUCUGGUCAGUAGAGUUACCACCUUUGUCUCAUCUGGUCACCAUUCUUUGGUGAAAACUCCAGAAGAUUCAGACACAGAGUAAUGGCCUCCCAGCUGCUGCGUUCCCACGUCUGUGGUUUUCCUGUGAUAUAAACAAAAGAUUCUGGAGCUGCCUUCUGACCUCAGCUGUGUGGCGGGCAGGAGAGGAGGCAGCUGGAGCAGAUCAUGCUCAGGAUGUCGGGAACGUUCACCGGCAGUGAGAGGAUAAUCAGAGCCUGCAGAAUCAAUCCUCAGAGUCACGUCUCUCUAAGAAAAUGAGUGAGCCUCAGUUUGCCUGCUCCGAGUCUUCUGCUUGUAAACACUCGGAUGCUGGAAAUACACAUUCACCUCUGACUGGUGAAAGGAUCAGCCUUUUGAAAGGAAACUCUGUGACACUGGCCACUCAGGACGCCCCACUGAGCAUCAUUAAAACCC